GAUGAACGCUGGCGGCGUGCCUAAUACAUGCAAGUCGAGCGAACAGAUGAGGAGCUUGCUCCUCUGACGUUAGCGGCGGACGGGUGAGUAACACGUGGAUAACCUACCUAUAAGACUGGGAUAACUUCGGGAAACCGGAGCUAAUACCGGAUAAUAUAUUGAACCGCAUGGUUCAAUAGUGAAAGACGGUUUUGCUGUCACUUAUAGAUGGAUCCGCGCCGCAUUAGCUAGUUGGUAAGGUAACGGCUUACCAAGGCAACGAUGCGUAGCCGACCUGAGAGGGUGAUCGGCCACACUGGAACUGAGACACGGUCCAGACUCCUACGGGAGGCAGCAGUAGGGAAUCUUCCGCAAUGGGCGAAAGCCUGACGGAGCAACGCCGCGUGAGUGAUGAAGGUCUUCGGAUCGUAAAACUCUGUUAUUAGGGAAGAACACAUGUGUAAGUAACUAUGCACGUCUUGACGGUACCUAAUCAGAAAGCCACGGCUAACUACGUG
rnacentral:rRNA from 1 species